CGCCGAUCUGGCCGAGCCAGGCGAAUGGGAACAGCACUUCAAGGGUGCCGAUCUCGUCGUCAUGUUGCAGGCGCAGAUCGGCGC
rnacentral:tRNA from 1 species